CCUGACGCAGCGACGCCGCGUGGGCGACGAAGGUCUUCGGAUCGUAAAGCCCUUUUCUAGAGGAUGAGGAAGGACAGUACUCUAGGAAUAAGUCUCGGCUAACUACGUGCCAGCAGCCGCGGUAAAACGUAGGAGGCGAGCGUUAUCCGGAUUUAUUGGGCGUAAAGCGCGUGCAGGCGGUGCGCUAAGUUGGACGUGAAAUCUCCCGGCCCAACUGGGAGGGGCCGUUCAAUACUGGUGCACUUGAGGGCAGGAGAGGGAAGUGGAAUUCCCGGUGUAGCGGUGGAAUGCGUAGAUAUCGGGAGGAACACCCGUGGCGAAGGCGGCUUCCUGGUCUGUUCCUGACGCUGAGACGCGAAAGCUAGGGGAGCAAACGGGAUUAGAUACCCCGGUAGUCCUAGCUGUAAACGAUGGAUACUAGGUGUUGGUGGUAUUGACCCCAUCAGUGCCGUAGCUAACGCGUUAAGUAUCCCGCCUGGGGAGUACGACCGCAAGGUUAAAACUCAAAUGAAUUGACGG
rnacentral:rRNA from 1 species